UCAGGAUGAACGCUAGCUACAGGCUUAACACAUGCAAGUCGAGGGGCAGCGAGAGGAAAGCUGCUUCCUGUCGGCGACCGGCGCACGGGUGAGUAACGCGUAUCCAACCUUCCCCAUAGUAGAGGAUAGCCCGGCGAAAGUCGGAUUAAUACUCUAUGUUGUGUCAUGAGGACAUCUGAAUAACACUAAAGAUUUAUCGCUAUGGGAUGGGGAUGCGUCUGAUUAGCUUGUCGGCGGGGUAACGGCCCACCGAGGCGACGAUCAGUAGGGGUUCUGAGAGGAAGGUCCCCCACAUUGGUACUGAGACACGGACCAAACUCCUACGGGAGGCAGCAGUGAGGAAUAUUGGUCAAUGGACGAGAGUCUGAACCAGCCAAGUAGCGUGCAGGAAUGACUGCCCUAUGGGUUGUAAACUGCUUUUAUCAGGGAAUAAAGUGAGGCACGUGUGCCUUUUUGUAUGUACCUGAUGAGUAAGGACCGGCUAAUUCCGUGCCAGCCGCUGC
rnacentral:rRNA from 1 species